rnacentral:misc_RNA from 1 species
GGGGGCGAGCAGCGAGGCAGUCGGACCACGCGGCGGCGACGAUCUGCGCGACGCCGAUGUUGCUGCAGUUGCGUCGUGCCUUGGUGCUGAGCUGGCGGACGAAGUUUGGCGGGAAGCGGAGGAUGGUGGCAGAGGCCAGGGCGCCGCCGGACUCGGUGGAGAAGACCGCCUGCGGAGUGAGCGACACGGUGGCCAUGGCGUAAGAGGAGCUAGGGUUUCGGCGUCGGCGCGGGAAGGGACGCUUCGCUCGUUCGGUCGCGGCGGCUUCGAGGAGGUGGAGGUGGCGGUCGCGUGGCCUUUCGAAAUGCGGUGCGGCCUAUUUGUAGUGGCAACCGGC